rnacentral:lncRNA from 1 species
GGCAAAGGUAAUUAUGUGGCAACUUCUUCUAAGAGAGGGAAAAGAAGCCAACUUUCUGACAUCCAAAAGUAUUCCUCUGAGGUGUUGUUCAACCUAGACCAAAACUUUCCAUUGUCCUGAUGCUUUCCAGACCAGCAUAAGACACUGAGCUGAGCUUGGAGAGCUGGUGGCUCCUGGCGGCUGUAGGAGCUGCAUCUCCCCUCCGUUCUCAUGGAAGCGCAGG